UACGUAGGGUGCAAGCGUUAAUCGGAAUUACUGGGCGUAAAGCGUGCGCAGGCGGUCUUGCAAGACAGAUGUGAAAUCCCCGGGCUCAACCUGGGAACUGCAUUUGUGACUGCAAGGCUGGAGUGCGGCAGAGGGGGAUGGAAUUCCGCGUGUAGCAGUGAAAUGCGUAGAUAUGUGGAGGAAUACCGAUGGCGAAGGCAGCCCCCUGGGUCGACACUGACGCUCAUGCACGAAAGCGUGGGGAGCAAACAGG
rnacentral:rRNA from 1 species